rnacentral:rRNA from 1 species
UAUUUUGACUAUACAAAGGUAUUGUAAUAAGACUUUAAUUGAGUGCUAAGAGAAUGGACUUUCAAAAAAAUUCUUUUUUAAAUUUAAAAAUUAAAGUUAUUUUUAUUUGUGAAGAAACAAUAAUGAAAAUUAUAGACAAGAAGACCCUAUGAAUUUUAACUAAAUUAAACUAAAGCUUUAGUUUAAUUUAGUUUAAUUGGGGCGAUUAAAAAAAAUAAUAAACUUUUUAUUAAAUAAAAUGAUCCAUAAAUUAUGAUUAAAUGUAAUAAAUACUCUAGGGAUAACAGCGUAAUAAUUUUAGAUAGAUCUUAUAGAAAAAAUAGUUUGCGACCUCGAUGUUGGAUUAGGAUACUUUUUUAAUGAAGAAGUUAAAAUAAGAAGUUUGUUCAACUUUUAAAAUCC